GGUGACCAUACCACAUGCAUGCAGUGAUGGCUGAGGCCAGAAGAGGGCACCAGGUCCAAUGAAACUAGUAAGAGAUAGUUGUGAGCCGCCAUGUGGGUGCUGGGAAUUGUUUGUGGGUGCACUGCAAGAUCAGCCAGUGCACUUAAUGGGCUGAGCCAUCUUCUCACCACACCCCAACCUUUUUUAAAAGACAGGAUCCGGCUGUGUAGCCCAGGCAGGCUUGGAAUUCACAAUCCUCCUGCCUCAGCCACCCGAGUGCUGGAUUACUUACAGGUCAGGCCACCAUACUCAGCUUUUCUGCUUCUCUCUUUAGUUGUAUCCCAUGGAGAGUGGUGCCAUGCUUAACAUUUCUUUGUUUUAAAAUUUUUAAAUGGAGGUGUUUAUGUCUGUGUGCCAUGGGAGUGUGGGUGCACACGGAGACCAGAAAAAGAUAGGCAGUCAGCAAAGCUAGGGUUACAGGUGCUUGUGAACUAUGGGUGCUGAGAGCAGAAUUCAGGCCCUCUGGAACGGAGUUGCUGAGCUGUCUUCCCACCCUCUGCUGUAGUCUUUAAAAGUUAGUAGUGUAGCUAUCUCAGGCUAAAACUUGUGGGGCUUAUCUAAGCAAUGAAGCUGAGGCGUCCAGAUAAAAGUAUAGGGCUUGCACUGCUCCUGGCAUCCUCCCCAAAUGGCUGACAUUCAUCUCUGCAUAAGAAAUUGACCCGAGGUGGGCAAGGAUGGCUUUUUACUAGAAAAGGCCUAGACAGGGCCUUGGCUUACACUAGGUUUCAAGGUUCCCUCUUGGUGAUGUGGUCCACUGCAGUCACCUGCAGGUUUGUCUUCCCACGGAGGGGACUGGGAGUGGUGGUGGUGGUCACACUUGUGUGCCAGUGCCGUGCCAGUGCCCGGGAGCAAAUGCUGCAGGUUGGUGGUUAGCGUUGAAGUUUUACCCUUCCUCAGUUUGCUCUAGCCGUCUAGUGAGGGAGUCUGUGUCCCCUGUUUCAGCCCCUUGUCACUAGAAAUCUUUCAGUACAUGAUAUCUGGAAGCAGUUCCUAGCUAAGCACAGUGACCCAAGUCUGUAAUCCCAGCAUUUGGUGUGGGGAAGGGGGUGUAGAGGCAGGAGGAGCCAGAGAUAAAGCCUGUCUUUCCUACAUGGCAAGUCAGCGGGCAGCCUGGAUUACAUGAGAACCAGUAAAACCAAACAAAACCCAACCCUCCCCCCCCAAACAAAGCCCACUUAAUGCCUUUUGGAGUUCAGAAUGUAACUGAAGGUUUGCAUUAAUUAUAGGGGCUUUUGGUACUUCUCAGUCUCCAAAGUGUGCUAACCCCCAACUGUGAAGAGGAAAGCAGCUACCCUUAGCAGUGGUCUCAGUUAUCAGUUCACACUGGAGCCUCCCUCCAGUUCCAGCCUAGCUCUCUACUUGGCAAUGCUGUGCUCGACCCUCCUCAAAUCCCGUUCUGUGGUUUCAGUCCCUGUGCCAGUGGGCUUUAAUGAGCUGAGAAGGAAAAGCGAAAGUGCCCAGAUGAAUCCUGAGCUUUGGAAUCGACCCCUUGGAGGUGUGGCUUAGGCUCGCUCAGGUUUGGUCAGCUGGUUCAUCCCGAGCCUUUGGAAUUCCUGCUCCCAGUUUUUGUUUUGUUUUGUUUUUAUAGCAGGUUCAUGAAUACCUAGCAGACUCGUCUAAUAUUGUAAUUUACAUUUGAUACAAUUUUGACGAAAAUUGUGCUAAAGUGUGCUCUUCUGUCGCUUCUGUCACUUGUACGUACUCAUCCGAUAUUCAGCUUGGCUCUCAGCUCUCAGCACCUCCAUCACUUUAUCCUGCUCCCAGUACUUGGCUUAGCCCCACCAGGGUCUCCUGCUGUAGCACCUGCUUGUCUGAGGCUCCCUUUGUAAUCCAGCCUAGCCUCGAAUUCGCAACCUCCUCCUUCAGCCUCUCCAAGGCUCGGUUCACAAGGCGAGUCACUACCAUGUCCAGCAAGUGGUUUUUUAAUUAAUAUCUGAUCCGUAUUUUAUAUUUUAAGUUACUCAUUUCUUGUAGACGCGUAGAAAUCAGAGGACAAUUUUGUGGAGGCGAUUCUUCUAUUUUUACGAACUCAGACGGCUUUAGCCGCUGACAGCCCUCUCGCAGGCCGCGGUUAUAGGAUUUGUAUUGAAUCCUUUCCCGAAUUACUUGGGCUUGUGACGAAUGUGCGGGAGCCUGACUGUUGACAGCUUGGCUUGUGGGGGGCGGGAGGGGGCGGCUAGAACUCGCGCAUGCGCGGCGCUCCGGGAGACAGCGUUCAUAGGCCCCGCCUCUGUGUUCUGCAGUUUGGCUCUGCAGAUUCGCCGGUCACGUUUCUUUUUUCCGCGGAGCUUACUGUUCUUUGUUCCGGUCUUCCUGUCGUCCUCGACACGGUUUUUUUUCAGAGCAAAAGCUUGAGUCGGUGCUAUGCUUUUCUCGGUACGCAGCGGGCCCUUCGGCUUGUAGCGAAAGUGUGGCUGCGGAAGAGCAGGUACUCGCGGAGCUCGGCGGAGGCGCGUUGGGGCUCCCGGCGACUGCGACGACGACGACGACGACGACGACGAACGGAGCGGACGGAGGCGGCGCUUGAGGCAGCGGCGAAGCCCAUGCCCCGGAACGGCGGGAGGACCCGGAGAGACGAGUCCGGGGCCCGGGGCAUGUCCCCGGGGCCCCCGUGAGGAGGAGGAGGCGGCGGCGAUGGAGAUCCCGCCGCAGGAGGCUCCGCCCGGGCCGGGCGCGGACGCCGACGCGGACGCGGAGGCCGAGACCGAGGAGGCCUCCGCCGAAGCUGAGUCUCCUACCGGGACCUCGCCCCCGGCCGAUGGCCGCCUUAAGGCUGCUGCCAAGCGUGUCACGUUCCCAUCUGACGAGGACAUCGUGUCUGGAGCGGUGGAGCCCAAAGACCCCUGGAGACACGCCCAGAAUGUGACGGUGGACGAGGUGAUCAGUGCCUACAGACAGGCCUGCCAGAAGCUGAACUGCCGACAAAUCCCCAAGCUCCUCAGGCAGCUGCAGGAGUUCACGGAUCUUGAGCAACGCAUCAACUGCCUGGACCUGAAAGGGGAGAAGCUUGAUUAUAAGACCUGUGAGGCUCUGGAGGAGGUCUUUAAGAGGCUGCAGUUCAAGGUUGUGGACCUGGAGCAAACCAACUUAGAUGAGGAUGGUGCCUCAGCCCUCUUUGACAUGAUUGAGUACUACGAGUCGGCCACCCACCUCAACAUCUCUUUCAACAAGCACAUCGGCACUCGGGGCUGGCAGGCUGCUGCCCACAUGAUGCGCAAGACAAGUUGCCUACAGUACCUAGAUGCCCGCAACACACCCCUGCUGGACCACUCGGCACCCUUUGUGGCUCGCGCCCUGCGCAUCCGCAGCAGCCUGGCAGUGCUGCACCUAGAAAAUGCCAGCCUGUCCGGGCGGCCCCUCAUGCUGCUGGCCACAGCCCUGAAGAUGAACAUGAACCUCCGAGAACUGUACUUGGCAGACAACAAGCUCAACGGUCUGCAGGACUCUGCCCAGCUGGGCAACUUGCUCAAAUUCAACUGCUCCCUGCAAAUUCUGGACCUGCGGAACAACCACGUGCUGGACUCAGGUCUGGCCUACAUCUGCGAGGGUCUCAAGGAGCAGAGGAAAGGGCUGGUGACCCUGGUGCUGUGGAACAACCAGCUCACACACACGGGCAUGGCCUUCUUGGGCAUGGCACUGCCACACACACAGAGUCUGGAGACACUGAACCUGGGCCACAACCCCAUUGGGAACGAGGGUGUACGAAACCUCAAGAAUGGGCUCAUCAGCAACCGCAGUGUGCUGCGCCUCGGCCUCGCCUCAACCAAGCUCACGUGCGAGGGUGAACCACUCCCUGCUUCGAUUGGACCUGGACCGAGAGCCCAAGAAAGAGCCGGUGAAGAGCUUCAUCGAGACGCAGAAGGCACUACUGGCUGAGAUCCAGAACGGCUGCAAGCGCAACUUUGUGCUGGUUCGAGAGCGUGAGGAGAAGCAGCAGCUGCAGCUGUCAGCCUCCAUGCCUGAGAUCACCAUCACUGCACCGCAGCCCCUGGAAGAGUCUGGGGAGCUGCCAGCCGUCGGGUCUCAGAAUGGGGCCCCUCGCCCUGGACCUGGCCCUGACUCAGACUCAGACUCAGACUCUGACAGGGAGGAGCAGGAGGAAGAGGAGGAGGACCAACGAAACCAGCAGAGGGAUGAGGGGGGCAACGACCAGAGCUCCUUGGCCUCCUGCCCUGCCCUCAUACCUUCCACAGACUCCCUAGGCCCUGGUGACAAGAGCCCCCCAAGCAGCCCCUCCUCUCCCACUGAGCAGCGUAUUUCUGUCUCCAGCCCAGGCCGAGGCCACAAGGUAUUUGUGGUGACCCGGGUGGAGAGUCCACCUGAGAGGCCAGAGCCCCCUGUUCCUCCCACCUUUGUCUCCUCUCCUCCACCCUCUCCUCCCUCCCCGCCUGCCUCUCCACCAUCUCAGACCAUGGACACCCAGGACCCAGAGUCAUCUGAGGCUCAGCCCCAGCUGGAGCCAUCUCAGGCAGGGCAGCCACUGCCCAAUGGCCUGAAGCCUGAGUUUGCCCUCGCACUUCCCCCAGAGCCUCCCCCAGGGCUGGAGGCUAAGGGAGGCAGCUGCAGCCUGGAGCACGCACUGCACCGCUCCCAGGGUGUUAGCAAGCUGGAGGAACUGCUUCUAGAGGCCAGUCAGGAGGCCCCGCGGGACACACUGUGACACUUUCUUUUGUUCCGGACGUCUGUGAUGAGCUGAAGCCAUCCCCAAGGGUCUGCUGACUCCCCGCCUAGUCGUCCCACAGGAGACCAGGCAGAGCAUCCCAGGCCUCGCCACAACAACACUACAGCCACUAGGGGCACAGGGCUGGGAGUGGCUUCCUGGACUUGAGAGCAUAUUUAUGUGUCUGCCACUCCCCAGGGUGGGGCUUCGGCAGACUGGAGGAAGAAGAUGCAAGGAGCUCUCCAGGGUCACCAGCCACAAGGCUGUCCUGGUCUUGGAGAGCCCAGUGACCAGCCUGUCCUGGGAGGAUUAGGAGUCGGGUCAGACGUACAACGGCUCCUGACCCCUCUCGGGACCUAGCUGGUGAGCGUGGUGGUAGUUUGCCAGCCCCUGUGGGGUGGGGCCAGCGAGAAGGAACAGAGCUUUUUUUCUAAAGUGCAAUAAAAUCUAUCAGGGAGCUGGGCAAGCAGCAGUGUAGUUCUGGGACCCUGCUGCCCGGGCCACUGAGGCUGCGCCCUGGCAGGCACUACAGCAGUGGGCAGUGGGUGGGUGGACGGUGAGGGUGGGCUGGGCUGGGCCACUCCUGUUGGAGCAGCUCUCACACCUUUUCUAAUAAACGGAGCUGGGGUCA